GAAGUGUUUUGUGUGUGUGUGUGUGUGUGUGUGUGUGUGUGUGUAUGUGGUUGUUUCCUUUUCUUAAAGGUUCCCUUUAAGUAGCAGUUUCAGAUAAUAAUAACAAAGCAACUAUUCCUGGGGGCUUGCGGUGUGCCAGGUGCUGACUGCCCUACUGCUUUAUCUCUCUCAGUAUCCUGUGAAUUACUACAUAUUUAUCUCCAUUUUGCAGAAGGUGAAACAGUGAAGAAAAUAACUUAUUUAAGAUCAUGUGGUUAAGUCAGGGGCAGGCCCCUGCGCUGUCCAUGGCAGAGCCAUUCUGAUUUCUAGUCAUCUAUGUAACUGUGUUAAAUUCUAAUCAUUUCUAAUGCUUUUGUUUCUUUGCUUCUUUAGGAGAAGCCAAGAGAACCUUGAGGCAGAUGCGCUAAAGGCAGGGAGGCGCCAGCACAGGACGCACCCCCACCACCAGGCCCCAGCCAUCCAGAAACAACUGGAAAGACAGCCUUCACACUAAGUGAACUAGAAGCUGUCCAGGAUCAAACAAACAAACAAGCAAACAAACAAACAAGUGAGUUUCAUUUGCAUUGCUCCCAGGAGGCCAGACACUUCGCUUCUCCCUUUCAAUUACCUUCUCUUACAGAGAGUUGCCCAGAGGAAUCUAAUUUCACCUCCAAUCAUUUUUUCCAUUACUUUUACUUAGGAAAAUAAAUAGCCAUCCCUUGUGCUGAGUACUCCAGAUGAAACUGUAGAACUGCUACCCAAUUGGAGGAAAAUGUUUGGUUUGCGGAGCCCAUUUACGUUUCUCGCGGUUCCUGUUUUUCAUAAUGUCAGGUUUGAAACCCCCAUACACACUAAUGACUGAGUCAUAAAUACACCAAAAAGUUGCUACGCGUUUCCGAAAGUUAGUUCCUGGGUGUCUACUUGUAACUCUUUUCAAAGUGCUUUCCCCCACAAAGAAAAUACCAGCAGCAAUUAAAGCAGACAAAUGACUCAUUUGGGUGAAAGCAGUUUUCGAGUCAAGGGUGUUUAAAAGCAAAAGUUAUUUUUGAAAAAUCUUCACAAUCAGCUCUAAUUGGCAGCGCUGUUUCUUCUUAUUUUGCAUUAUUGUGAGGGUUUCAAGAGACCUCUUGGCCAUCGUGAUCCUCCCAUGUGUGGGCAGAGCGCGGAAUAAGGCACAGCCAGCCUGGUGGGCUUAAUCCUACAGAACAGUGAUUCUGGAAGUGUUGCCCUGGUGCCCACCUGCACCAGAAUUACCUGAGAAGAGGAGGCGCUCAUCUAAAACGCAGAGUGUGGGCCCCCUCACCCCCACCCCUACCCCAGACCAGCUCCAUCAGAAUCUCUGGAGUUUGAGCAGUGGAAAUUGGCA
rnacentral:lncRNA from 1 species